rnacentral:miRNA from 1 species
UAUACUCUCUCUCUCUCUAUAUAUAUAUAUAUAUAUAUAUAUAUAUACAUAUAUAUGUAUACAUAUAUAUGUAUAUAUAUAUAUAUAUGUAGAGAGAGGGGGGGGAGA